UACGUAGGGGGCGAGCGUUGUCCGGAUUCAUUGGGCGUAAAGAGCUCGUAGGCGGCUUGUCAAGUCGGGUGUGAAACCUCCAGGCUCAACCUGGGGACGCCACUCGAUACUGCUGUGACUUGAGUCCGGUAGGGGAGCGUGGAAUUCCUGGUGUAGCGGUGAAAUGCGCAGAUAUCAGGAGGAACACCAGCGGCGAAGGCGGCGCUCUGGGCCGGUACUGACACUGAGGAGCGAAAGCGUGGGUAGCAAACAGG
rnacentral:rRNA from 1 species